UACGAAGGGUCCAAGCGUUGUUCGGAAUCAUUGGGCGUAAAGCGCGCGCAGGCGGAUCAGUAAGUCAGGUGUGAAAUCUCGGGGCUCAACCUCGAAAUUGCGCCUGAAACUACUAGUCUAGAGUGUCGGAGGGGGCAGGGGAAUUUCACGUGUAGGGGUAAAAUCCGUAGAGAUGUGAAGGAACACCGGAGGCGAAGGCGCCUGCCUGGACGACUACUGACGCUGAGGCGCGAAAGCGUGGGGAGCAAAC
rnacentral:rRNA from 1 species